GAUCAUGGCUCAGAUUGAACGCUGGCGGCAGGCUUAACACAUGCAAGUCGAACGAUGAUUAUCUAGCUUGCUAGAUAUGAUUAGUGGCGGACGGGUGAGUAACAUUUAGGAAUCUGCCUAGUAGUGGGGGAUAGCUCGGGGAAACUCGAAUUAAUACCGCAUACGACCUACGGGUGAAAGGGGGCGCAAGCUCUUGCUAUUAGAUGAGCCUAAAUCAGAUUAGCUAGUUGGUGGGGUAAAGGCCCACCAAGGCGACGAUCUGUAACUGGUCUGAGAGGAUGAUCAGUCACACCGGAACUGAGACACGGUCCGGACUCCUACGGGAGGCAGCAGUGGGGAAUAUUGGACAAUGGGGGCAACCCUGAUCCAGCCAUGCCGCGUGUGUGAAGAAGGCCUUUUGGUUGUAAAGCACUUUAAGCAGGGAGGAGAGGCUAAUGGUUAAUACCCAUUAGAUUAGACGUUACCUGCAGAAUAAGCACCGGCUAACUCUGUGCCAGCAGCCGCGGUAAUACAGAGGGUGCGAGCGUUAAUCGGAAUUACUGGGCGUAAAGCGAGUGUAGGUGGCUCAUUAAGUCACAUGUGAAAUCCCCGGGCUUAACCUGGGAACUGCAUGUGAUACUGGUGGUGCUAGAAUAUGUGAGAGGGAAGUAGAAUUCCA
rnacentral:rRNA from 1 species